rnacentral:rRNA from 1 species
ACGGGGGGGGCCAGCGUUGUUCGGAAUUACUGGGCGUAAAGGGCGCGUAGGCGGCCGGCUCAGUCGGACGUGAAAUCCCUCGGCUCAACCGGGGAACUGCGUCCGAUACUGGUCGGCUUGAAUCCGGGAGAGGGAUGCGGAAUUCCAGGUGUAGCGGUGAAAUGCGUAGAUAUCUGGAGGAACACCGGUGGCGAAGGCGGCAUCCUGGACCGGCAUUGACGCUGAGGCGCGAAAGCCAGGGGAGCAAACG